AGCAGCCGCGGUAAUUCCAGCUCCAAUAGCGUAUAUUAAAGUUGUUGCAGUUAAAAAGCUCGUAGUUGAAUUUCGGGGUUAGUAGGUUGGUCAUGCCACUGGUAUGUACUGGUCUCACUGAUUCCUCCUUCCUGAUGAGCCGUAAUGCCAUUAAUUUGGUGUUGCGAGGAAUCUGGACUGUUACUUUGAAAAAAUUAGAGUGUUUAAAGCAAGCUAACGCUUGAAUACAUUAGCAUGGAAUAAUGAAAUAGGACGUUCGAUCCUAUUUUGUUGGUUUCUAGGAUUGACGUAAUGAUUAAUAGGGAUAGUUGGGGGCAUUAGUAUUCAAUUGUCAGAGGUGAAAUUCUUGGAUUUAUUGAAGACUAACUACUGCGAAAGCAUUUACCAAGGAUGUUUUCAUUAAUCAAGAACGAAAGUUAGGGGAUCGAAGACGAUCAGAUACCGUCGUAGUCUUAACCAUAAACUAUGCCGACUAGGGAUCGGAUAAUGUUAUUUUUAAUGACUCAUUCGACGCCUUACG
rnacentral:rRNA from 1 species